CUGUCUUACUUUCUGGUCACAUAAGCAAUAUAUGCUCAUUGUGAGGUUUGGUUGUUCCAUUACAAAAAAGACUGUUUUAAAAGCCAUUAGCGGAGGGAUGGGAGGAGUUCUCUUCUGCCUGUUUCUUCCUCCUAAACAGCGAAAUGACUGUGUCCUCAAAGGGAUGUAUAAUGAGCGAGAGGCGAAAAAGAACGUCCCUGAUUUUAAAUCCACAGUGUCCUUCACCAGUGAGCAAUAGUAGUUCUGUGAGUGGGAGACCAGGACCACUGUGCUUGCAAACAGCACUUUAAAACACUGGAACCCAAGUUCAGGAUCUGCUGACAGCACAUCCGCAGUCUCUACAAUAACAACUUAACUCUUUCAAUUAAUUGCCCAUCAGAAAAUCGUUGAAUCCAUCUGUGACCUGGACACCUUCCACCUCCAUCCAUGGAGUUGUGUCACCUUUCUGGACCAAGCCACUGGACACCUUACAUGUAUCGAUUGGCAACACGUACACCUCCACACACUGCUAAAUGACAAAGCGGAAUUUUGAAAUACAAAACUGUGAGGGGUUUGGACAAGAGAACUGAAAUGACAUCAUGGAGGUGGCAGGGGAUCGUCUUGCCCUUUUCUUAUUUUCUGCCUGUAACUUCUGUCCCCCUAAAAUGCAUAAAAUCCAGCUAGAACCUAACCACCUUAUGCAGCAGUUCUUAGGACUUCCUGGGGCUGUGUCAUCAUUCAAAGUCCUCAUAUUUGGCUCACAAUAAAUCUCAUCAAAUAAUUUACAAAUUUGA